AUGGAGACUCCACCCCCAGUCGGUUCAGCUGAUUUGGGAACACUUCGGAGACGCUCAGGUAGACCUGUUUGCCUCUCCAGAAAAUUCCCACUGCCAGUUGUUUUACUCCCUGACCGAGGGCACCCUCGGCACGGACGCCCUGGCACACAGCUGGCCGCUGGGCCUGCGCAAGUAUGCGUUUCCCCCAGUGAGCCUUCUUGCACAGACGUUGUGCAAGAUCAGGGAGGACGAGGAGCAGGUCCUCAUGGUUGCGCCUUUUUGGCCCGGCCGGACCUGGUUCCCCGAACUUGUACUCCUCGCGACAGCCCCUCCCUGGCCAAUUCCUCUGAGGAAGGACCUUCUUUCUCAGAGACGGGGCACCCUCUGGCACCCACGUCCCGAUCUGUGGAACCUACAUGUGUGGGUUCUGGACGGGUCACGGAAGGUUUAGGUACCUUGCCACCACAGGUGGUAGCUACCAUCACUUCAGCUAGAGCCAUGUCCACCAGACACGCCUAUGCUUUGAAGUGGAACCUCUUCGUCACUUGGUGUUCUUCACGGCGUGAGGACCCCUGGAAAUGUCCGAUUGGGUCAGUGCUUUCCUUUCUUCAGGAGGGGUUGGAACGAAGGCUGUCUCCUUCCACCCUCAAAGUCUAUGUGGCCGCCAUUUCGGCUCACCAUGACCCUGUUGAAGGUAAGUCUCUUGGGAGGCACGAUCUGAUCAUCAGGUUCCUGAGAGGAGCAAGGAGGCUUAACCCGCCUCGCCCUCAGCAAGUCCCCUCUUGGGACCUCGCAGUGGUUCUAUCAGCACUGCAGAGAGCUCCCUUCGAACCCUUGCUCUCAGUAGAGCUAAAGUUUUUAUCUUUGAAAACUGCGCUCCUGACGGCUUUGGCUUCGGUGAAGAGGGUCGGGGACCUGCAGGUAUUUUCAGUUGACGAAGCGUGCCUGGAAUUCGGGCCGGCUAACUCUCACGUUAUCUUGAGAUCCCGGCCUGGGUACGUGCCCAAAGUUCCCACCACUCCUUUUAGGGAUCAGGUGGUGAACUUGCAAGCGCUGCCCCUGGAGGAGACAGACCCAGCCCUGGCGCUGCUCUGUCCAGUACGUGCGCUCCGCACCUACGUGGACAGAACUCGGUGCCUUAGGACCUCAGACCAGCUCUUUGUCUGUUACGGAGGCCAGCAGAAGGGAAAGGCUGUCUCCAAGCAGAGGUUAUCCCACUGGAUAGUGGAUGCUAUUGUCCUGGCUUAUCAGGCUCAAGGCCUGCCAUGCCCCCUAGGGGUGAGAGCUCACUCAACUAGGAGCGUAGCUUCUUCCUGGGCGCUGGCGCCUCGCUAG
ensembl:lncRNA